AUUUGACUUCCUUGUGUUUCACUAUAAAAAAAUCAUUUUUCAAAUAUAAGCCAUAAGUAUAGUAAAAGUUGAUAACAUCACAAAAAAAUGAAUAAAACAUUAGAAGAGCCAUAUUGUUAGGCUAUUUGGAAUGAAAAUGAAGAUGAAGAUACCUCCUGUGUUAUUCCAUCCAAUUGGUUAGUUCCUGGAAGCCAUAUAUUUUGGCCACGUAAUAAUUAUUUUCAAGUCAAACAUGCAUUUCAUAAAAGAAGAGAUCCUGAUCAUUCAUGGAAAAAAUUUACACUAAUUAAGGUUAAGGUCUUUGGAACAUAUGAGUUCUGUAAUGAAAUGUGCAGUACAGAUGUUGGGUGGUUUUCUACAGAUGGUGAAAGUGUCUCACCAAUAAAAAAA
rnacentral:lncRNA from 1 species